GGGUUGUGAGGUUAAGCGACUAAGCGUACACGGUGGAUGCCCUGGCAGUCAGAGGCGAUGAAGGACGUGCUAAUCUGCGAUAAGCGCCGGUAAGGUGAUAUGAACCGUUAUAACCGGCGAUUUCCGAAUGGGGAAACCCAGUGUGAUUCGUCACACUAUCGUUAACUGAAUACAUAGGUUAACGAAGCGAACCGGGGGAACUGAAACAUCUAAGUACCCCGAGGAAAAGAAAUCAACCGAGAUUCCCCCAGUAGCGGCGAGCGAACGGGGAGCAGCCCAGAGUCUGAAUCAGCAUGUGUGUUAGUGGAACGGUCUGGAAAGUCCGACGGUACAGGGUGAUAGUCCCGUACACAAAAAUGCACAGGUUGUGAACUCGAAGAGUAGGGCGGGACACGUGGUAUCCUGUCUGAAUAUGGGGGGACCAUCCUCCAAGGCUAAAUACUCCUGACUGACCGAUAGUGAACCAGUACCGUGAGGGAAAGGCGAAAAGAACCCCGGCGAGGGGAGUGAAAAAGAACCUGAAACCGUGUACGUACAAGCAGUGGGAGCAUCCUUCGGGGUGUGACUGCGUACCUUUUGUAUAAUGGGUCAGCGACUUAUAUUCUGUAGCAAGGUUAACCGUAUAGGGGAGCCGAAGGGAAACCGAGUCUUAACUGGGCGUUAAGUUGCAGGGUAUAGACCCGAAACCCGGUGAUCUAGCCAUGGGCAGGUUGAAGGUUGGGUAACACUAACUGGAGGACCGAACCGACUAAUGUUGAAAAAUUAGCGGAUGACUUGUGGCUGGGGGUGAAAGGCCAAUCAAACCGGGAGAUAGCUGGUUCUCCCCGAAAGCUAUUUAGGUAGCGCCUCGUGAACUCAUCUUCGGGGGUAGAGCACUGUUUCGGCUAGGGGGUCAUCCCGACUUACCAACCCGAUGCAAACUGCGAAUACCGAAGAAUGUUAUCACGGGAGACACACGGCGGGUGCUAACGUCCGUCGUGAAGAGGGAAACAACCCAGACCGCCAGCUAAGGUCCCAAAGUCAUGGUUAAGUGGGAAACGAUGUGGGAAGGCACAGACAGCCAGGAUGUUGGCUUAGAAGCAGCCAUCAUUUAAAGAAAGCGUAAUAGCUCACUGGUCGAGUCGGCCUGCGCGGAAGAUGUAACGGGGCUAAACCAUGCACCGAAGCUGCGGCAGCGACACUAUGUGUUGUUGGGUAGGGGAGCGUUCUGUAAGCCGUUGAAGGUGGCCUGUGAGGGUUGCUGGAGGUAUCAGAAGUGCGAAUGCUGACAUAAGUAACGAUAAUGCGGGUGAAAAACCCGCACGCCGGAAGACCAAGGGUUCCUGUCCAACGUUAAUCGGGGCAGGGUGAGUCGACCCCUAAGGCGAGGCCGAAAGGCGUAGUCGAUGGGAAACAGGUUAAUAUUCCUGUACUUGGUGUUACUGCGAAGGGGGGACGGAGAAGGCUAUGUCGGCCGGGCGACGGUUGUCCCGGUUUAAGC
rnacentral:rRNA from 1 species